rnacentral:rRNA from 1 species
UACGGAGGGUGCGAGCGUUGUCCGGAAUCACUGGGCGUAAAGGGCGCGUAGGUGGCCCGUUAAGUGGCUGGUGAAAUCCCGCGGCUCAACUGCGGGGCUGCCGGUCAUACUGGCGAGCUAGAGCACGGUAGGGGCAGAUGGAAUUCCCGGUGUAGCGGUGGAAUGCGUAGAGAUCGGGAAGAAUACCAGUGGCGAAGGCGGCUCUCUGGGACGGUACUGACGCUGAGACGCGAAAGCGUGGGGAGCGAACAGG